AUUGAACGCUGGCGGCAUGCCUUACACAUGCAAGUCGAGCGGAUGAGUGGAGCUUGCUCCAUGAUUCAGCGGCGGACGGGUGAGUAAUGCCUAGGAAUCUGCCUGGUAGUGGGGGACAACGUUUCGAAAGGAACGCUAAUACCGCAUACGUCCUACGGGAGAAAGCAGGGGACCUUCGGGCCUUGCGCUAUCAGAUGAGCCUAGGUCGGAUUAGCUAGUAGGUGAGGUAAUGGCUCACCUAGGCGACGAUCCGUAACUGGUCUGAGAGGAUGAUCAGUCACACUGGAACUGAGACACGGUCCAGACUCCUACGGGAGGCAGCAGUGGGGAAUAUUGGACAAUAGGGCGGCAAGACCUGA
rnacentral:rRNA from 1 species